GAAAUGCGAUAAGUAAUGAGAAUUGCAGAAUUCAGUGGAUCAUCGAAUCUUUGAACGCACAUUGCGCCCCUUGGUAUUCCGGGGGGCAUGCCUGUUCGAGCGUCAUUUCAACCCUCAAGCGCUGCUUGGUCUUGGGCCUGGCCAUCGUGGCCGGCCUUAAAAUCAGUGGCGGUGCCUGCUGUAGGCUCCAAGCGUAGUACAUCUCUCGCUCUGGAAGCCCGGCGGUGCCUGCCAGACAACCCCUAAAUUGUCUCUUACGGUUGACCUCGGAUCAGGUAGGGAUACCCGCUGAACUUAA
rnacentral:misc_RNA from 1 species